UCGUGCUAGACGGGGAGGUAGCGGUGCCCUGUUCCCGCAAUCCGCUAUAGCGGGGUUGAAUUCCUGCCCGCGGGCGUCUGGCGUCGUCGACUUCUUCUGCGGUAGUGGCGUUGAUGGCCAGGUCCCAUGCAAUGGCCGCCCAUGAACCCCGUCAGGACCGGAAGGUAGCAGCGGUAAGUGGCGACCGGUCAUGUGAUAUGGGGUCGCCUGGUUGGAGUUAACCCGCAAAAGAAGAGCGGUGUCAGCGUUCAGAGGCAGGUGCACGA
rnacentral:SRP_RNA from 1 species